rnacentral:rRNA from 1 species
AGUGAACGCUGGCGGCGUGCUUAACACAUGCAAGUCGAACGGAUGAAAUAAGCUUGCUUAUUUCGUUAGUGGCGCACGGGUGAGUAAUGUAUAGCUAACCUGCCCUUUAGUGGGGGACAACAGUUGGAAACGACUGCUAAUACCCCAUACUCCUUCUUAUCUUAAGAUAAGUUGGGAAAGAUUUAUUGCUAAAGGAUGGGGCUUUAUGGUAUCAGCUAGUUGGUGGGGUAACGGCCUACCAAGGCGAUGACGCCUACCUGGUCUGAGAGGAUGAUCAGGCACACUGGAACUGAGACACGGUCCAGACUCCUACGGGAGGCAGCAGUGGGGAAUAUUGCACAAUGGAGGAAACUCUGAUGCAGCAACGCCGCGUGGAGGAUGACGCAUUUCGGUGUGUAAACCCCUUUUAUAAGGGAAGAAAGUGACGGUACCUUAUGAAUAAGCACCGGCUAACUCCGUGCCAGCCGCCGCGGUAA